GGCCAUUUGUGGAAACCGGUAUCUGAGGGGCAAGCCAGGCUCGGUCAUAAUCCUGGGGGCUGUCAGCCCGGAGGCGUGUGAGGCAAAGAAUACAUGUUAAAGUAAAUGAAGCAUCAUCCUGGAACUGGAGUGUCGAGAGGGGCUUUCAACUUGAACCUUCCAAAUGGGCCGCUGGGAAGUGGCCUGCCACUUGCUUAUACCACAGUCCCCUGGGCUGGCCUCAAGAGAAUCAGAAUUAAGGAAAAGGGACAGUCACAAAAAUAUGUUCUGGAUCUUCCUUUGCUUCCCCACCCCCCUGAGGCUACACAAAACCUUGUCAAACAGGCUCCACUGUAGGAUGGAACUCAAUCGGUAACUGAUUCGGUGAAGUGGCUGGAGGAGUCUGAGGACAGUGGCUUCAUUGUACCCGUGAGGCACCGGGGCAGAGAGUGAGAGACGCCUGCAGCUGGGGCCGCAGGAUGACUCCGUAUGGAGCCAUUCCAGUGCGACUUCUCCAUGAACAAUAAUAUUCUGGAAUUCCAGCCGGGUGAGGGAGGACAGUUGCCUGGACCUGAGUAGGUGGGAGGUCAUGAAAGACAUUGAGGCUCCCAACUUACUCCUCUGUAGACCCCUCACUCUUGCGGCAGCCAGCGGCCAUGUCUGAAGGACACUGAAGCAGCCCCGUGGAGAGCUCUGUGUGGUGAAGAACCGAGGCCUCCUGCCAGCAGCCAGAGCUGACUUGCCAGGCAUGACGGUGAGCUUGAGCCACCCAGCUAAGCCACUCCCAGAAACCUCACCCUCAGAAACUGUGUGUGACAAUACAUGUUUAUUGUUGUAAGCCUUUAAGUUUUGUAGUAAUUCGUUACACAGCCAUGUACAACUAAUACAGGGUUCCCUGGCACAAUGUCCCGUACAAUUGAGUCAGUUUACGAGGCAGACCUUCUGGCUAACCUUGGUGCUGGUUGAAACCCUAUGAACUUUUCCAAAAUCUUACUCAUUUCUCUCCCUUUUUAGGUGACUGGCCUGUUUCCCAGAUCCUAACACUUUGGAUUACAGUUCUUUUUUAUUGCUAUUCUGAGUUCUUUUUCCCUUUCCAGGCCUUAUUCUGAGGUUGCUUGACUACCUAGGCCUAUUCCAAAGUCUGACAAGUUUCAAGGCCCUUCUCUUGCACAGGUAUUUUCCAAGGCUCUGAGAGGGGUCCGUGCAAUGUGUUCACGUGGUCAUGUGGAUAAUAAAACUUGUGAGAGAGUAACAGUUAACUGUGAUCAGUCAAGACCAGUCUCUGUACUACGAUUUCCACUCUGUCAUGCUGUCUGUCACAGAGAGUGGCAUUAGAGUGGCCACAGGCACAUUUAGCAUCUGGUUAAGGGAAAGUUGAAUUCAAUUUGUGCUUAGUAGGACAUAUUUGUGUGGUUCCCAGGUACUUCCAUGUAAAGUUAAGCCAUUUCCCUCCUUCUCAGUGUCGCAAUGGCUUCCAGCAAAACGCCUACCACCUGCUGUGCUAACCCAAAGGGGCAUGACCAGAAGUCCUUUGGUGAAAAUAUGUCCUGCACCAUGUCACACAGGUACCAGAAGCAUAUGAGCUGUGAAAGAGAAACAAGGCUUAAAAUACACCAUGCCAGGAGCCAGUCUGCAGAACAUUCUUCCAAUCUUCAGAUUAUGUAGAUUGGCCGCAUCCAUACCUAGUCAGAACUAUCCAAAAUU